UGUGGUGGAGUAAAUGAUAGUGAUGGUGAAAAUAUAUAAGUGAUAAUAAAACUUAUUUCUUAUUGCUCCUCAUAUUUCUAUCUCUCCUCCUCUUUGAUCUUUGCUUUGGGAGGACAUGGGCUAUCUUUUUCUCUUUUUUUUCAGGUGGGUAGUAGAUACCCCUAAUUCUACUGUCGGACACUUGUCCAUUUUUUCCGCUCAAGUGGGCAUCUUUGUACCCCUAAUUCUACUCCGGACACUUGUCCAUUUUUACCUCUCGUCUCACUCUUUUUCUUUCUUUUUCGAGGUUCCGGGCACUUGCCCCUUUUUAUUUCCUCGCAUAUUUUUGCAUAACCCAUGCCUCUUCUCCAUUGAAUCUUUUCAGAGAGAGAGUAACAAUAUUUGGGACAGUGAGUGAUAAUAUUUUUAAUUUUAAUGAAUGGUGAUGGAUGGUGUAGUGGAUGUGUGCAAGUGAAUAUCUUAAUUUAACCACAUGAAAAGCUCCUAAGGGUCUACACAGCUCGAUCAAACUCAAUGCAAAUAUAAGUAGCAGAUGUUAUAGCAAGUUUGGCUGUGGUAGGUAGUUUGUAAUGCUAGGAACACAUCAUGUGAUUUGUAAGUUUUCAAAAAUAAAUCUCCAGAACUUAAGGUAGUAGGAACAAGAUAAAUAGCAGCUCAAACUUUAUAUUAUGUCCUUCUCUUACCUAGACUUU
rnacentral:lncRNA from 1 species